rnacentral:rRNA from 1 species
UACGAAGGGUGCAAACGUUGCUCGGAAUUAUUGGGACGUAAGCGCACGUAGGCGGCUUUGCAAGUCGGAAUGUGAAAUCCCUCGGCUUAACCAAGGAAGUGCAUCCGAAACUGCAGAGCUUGAGUACGAAAGAGGAUCGCGGAAUUCCGGUGUAGAGGUGAAAUUCGUAGAUAUCGGGAGGAACACCGGUGGCGAAGGCGGCGAUCUGGGUCGAUACUGACGCUGAGGCGACGAAGGCGAUGGGAGCGAACGGGGAU